AGUGAACGCUGGCGGUAGGCCUAACACAUGCAAGUCGAACGGCAGCACAGUAAGAGCUUGCUCUUACGGGUGGCGAGUGGCGGACGGGUGAGGAAUACAUCGGAAUCUACUUUUUCGUGGGGGAUAACGUAGGGAAACUUAAGCUAAUACCGCAUACGACCUACGGUGAAAGCAGGGGAUCUUCGGACCUUGCGCGAUUGAAUGAGCCGAUGUCGGAUUAGCUAGUUGGCGGGGUAAAGGCCCACCAAGGCGACGAUCCGUAGCUGGUCUGAGAGGAUGAUCAGCCACACUGGAACUGAGACACGGUCCAGACUCCUACGGGAGGCAGCAGUGGGGAAUAUUGGACAAUGGGCGCAAGCCUGAUCCAGCCAUACCGCGUGGGUGAAGAAGGCCUUCGGGUUGUAAAGCCCUUUUGUUGGGAAAGAAAAGCAGCAGGUUAAUACCCCGCUGUUCUGACGGUACCCAAAGAAUAAGCACCGGCUAACUUCGUG
rnacentral:rRNA from 1 species